rnacentral:lncRNA from 1 species
UUGGUUUAGGUAGGGUAUGAAAUUGGAACAAGGGUUUUUUUUUUCUUUUUUUUUCUUUUGGGUUGUAACGGGGUUUUGGUUUAGGUAGGCUAUGAAAUUUGAACAAAGGUUUUUGGUUCAGAGUACAUGAAAUCAUUCUCUCACUACGUUUCUUUUCUAUUAUUCCUGUAGGGUUAUGCAGUCCUCUUUUCCUUUUAUCUAUAGUGAAUGUAGCAUCUUUCAAAAGUUGUUCUUUUAUUGUUUUUCACUUUUCUCUUUCUUUAUUUUCAUGUUGUUGUUGUUUUUUUUUUCUUUUUUCUCUUUUCUUUUUUUUCUCUUUUUUUUUUAUACGACAUUUACUUACUAUUCAUGUACUGCAAAGCUACCCCAAACUUAAAGGUUGCUAUUCCAACAGCAACCCCAAACUUAGAUAGAAACGUAGAGAUGAAAUUAAUUCUCACAUACUCUGAAC